GUUCUUUUAUAAAUAUUUUUUUCAAUCUUGGUGGCAAAGGCAAUCCUCUUAAAUCGGGUGAGAAUUAGCCCAACUUUUGCUUCCAAGCAGACUGGAAUAACUCCAAUAUUUUUGCUAAGUGUUUCAAUUUGAAUUUGGUGAAUAUUUUCUUUGUAACAAGAAGUGCAGAGCCUCAAACACAAGGCAGCGUUUUCACAAUUAUAAUCAGUUUUAAAUUCAGGACUGUACAAAUUAAUACCCAGAAUAUUUUUUUCUUUUCAUUCAUGCACAUAUUCAUUCAUUCAUUAAAUGAGUGCUUGCUUAACAUCUACAGCACCAGAUGCUACAGUAGAGGCCCAGGAGACAGCAGGGAAUAGGACAGGACCCUUACCUUCUAGUUGGGAAAACAAACCAACCCCGAAAUUGCAAACUGUGAUGUGCCCUGCCUGAAGGAAAGAACAGCAUAAUUCUGUGGAAAGGAUGGGACAGGAAGUAACAUUUGAGCUGAGACCAGGAGACUGGGGAUGAACUGCCACAGAAAUUACUGGAGACACGGGAGAACUUUAGGUCUUUCAUAUGAACUGAGAAGAUAAAUCUAUGGAGACAGAGGUCAGAAGAGUGGUUCCCUGGGGAGGGUACUGUCUGGGAAGACAUGAGUGAGCUUUCAGGUGAGCUGGAAAUAGUCUAGAUCUUGAAUUGGGUGAUUAUGUGUAAAGAUGGAUUGAGCUGGGCGCCUGAGGCAUGUGCACCUUCCUAUGUGAAUGUU
rnacentral:lncRNA from 1 species